CUUGGUCAUUUAGAGGAGUAAAAGUCGUAACAAGGUUUCCGUAGGUGAACCUGCGAAGGAUCAUUACAAAUCAUCUGUCGCAAGACAGACAUUCGUGCCUCCAAGCACACAUGUGUACCAGUGUUACAGUCAAUAUGUCAAAUACAAAAACUUUUAACAAUGGAUCUCUUGGCUCUUGCAUCGAUGAAGAACGCAGUGAAAUGCGAAAUUUAAUGCGAUUUGCAUGAAUCUGUGAGUCAUCAAGUCUUUGAACGCACCUUGCACUCUGCUUCUGGCAGAGUAUGCCUGUUUGAGAAUCAUAAAAUUUAUCAACUCCUUUCGGGUUGGAUGCUGGCCUUUAGUGGCUUGAAUGCAUGACUGGUUCGUGUGUUAAAAGCCUCGUGCUUUCGCCGAACCAUAAUCUACAUUGAUCUCAAAUCAGGCAAGACUACCCGCUGAACUUAA
rnacentral:rRNA from 1 species